AGUGCUGGUGGGUUUAUAACCCAAGCCAGUGAGCUAGGGCUUUGGUAGGCUGUAUGGCUAAGGUGGUCAAGGGCCUGGCAGUAAGAACUUUGGUAAGAAAAGCUUUACUUACCCCUAGUUGCAAUAUGCUGUUUUUUACAAUCCCUAGUGUCCUAGACAGACAAAUAUAAUUGUUCAAGGGCAUGCUCUGUGUGUCUGCCUUCUCUAGGUUGUAAACUCUUGGGGACAGAGCUGAAAUUGUGAGGGGGCGGGCAAGUGACACAUUUUCCAAAACACAAGGAGCAAAUUGGGUGGUGGGCCAAUAUGGGUACUGGAUGAACUGGGAGAGUUCAAAGCUGUGAAGAUGUCAUGCUGUCUUGAUUCAAGAGAGCUGUCAUUCUCUAGGGAAAUACUGCUUCAUAACAAAAGUAAUACACUAAUGGGCAAGGCUUAACUCUGCAGCACUAACUCAGGCAAAGUUCUCCUGGACUUCAAAAGGAGUUUUGCUUCAGUAAUGACUUCAAGAUCAGGAAGAAUACUUACAGGGAUGGGAGGAGCAUGGGGAAAGUAAAGGUCUACAUUGUAUUUCCACCAGCAGUAUUUCUACUUUUUGUUCUAUUCAAUUAUUUGAAAGUUGGUGUUCCAGAUCUGAUUGUUAUGGAUAAUGUACUGCUAGCAUUACUUUUUUAUAUGUCCUGAUGUGGAGUCAAUGGCUGGCUCCAGGCUUCAAAACUUGUUUUAACAUGUAAUCUUGUUUUUUUUUGUUUUUUUUUAGAAGCUCCGUGUAACCAAUUUAAUAGAGCAGGACAUUCAGUGUCAGACUUCUCAUUCUAAAGUCAGAUAUGCAACACCAGUUACGUUUGUAGAUGUAGGGUAUUCUUAGGUGUGCACAUUUGCUUAAAUAUCAAUGAAGGCAAAUGCCAUUAUGAAUUGCAGCCUCAACCUGUUUCUCAUUCCCAGAUAGCGGUCAUUAAUGAUUAUUGUGUAUGUCUCUGGAGUUCUUGCAAACCAUUUAUUAUAAAUAAAUAAUGACAUCCACCCUAACUUGUGUUUAUGUUUUGUCUUAACCAUAGAGGGAUGAGAUGUUCGGUUUCAGUCGGAAAGGAUGACAUCUAGAGCCAUUCGAACUGCAUACUGUUUGUAUGAUCAUGUCAAGCCAGUGAGUCUGGGACUAAACAUCUUGCUCAUCAGCCAACUGAUGGAGCACCAAGACCUCACCAGGCAUGUCGAUGAGGUGGUAGAAUGAGGGAAGGAGAAAGAAGAAUUACCAGCAUCAAGCAGAGUUACUACCUACCUGUUGUCUGAGGUCCACUCCUCACUCUGCUGAGUCACCUGGUCGGUUCUGGAUUCAAUCUGCAUCGUGAGGUUCCAGAAGCAAGCUGCAAGAAAUGGCAAUCUUAAACCCUGAUGAUAGAUGCAAGUAGGGAGACGAAUCUCUCAACUGGUCUCUGGCCAUCCUGAAACCAGUAAACACUUUGACAUUGCUGCCAAGGUACUGAUCGUGCUUCCUGCUGCAAACAAAUCUCAGAAAUCUGUGGUGGCAAUAUGGAAGUAAGAUGGGAAUAUGGAAGUAAGCAUCUGCAAGAUCCACUGAAGUCAGGAAGUCCAUUUGCAACAGGGAUGACACCACAGAGGUCAGAGUCUCAACCCAAAAUCUAAUUUUCUUCAUACAAUUGAACCUUUUGA